GAUGAACGCUGGCGGCGUGCCUAAUACAUGCAAGUCGAGCGAACGGACGAGAAGCUUGCUUUUCUGAUGUUAGCGGCGGACGGGUGAGUAACACGUGGAUAACCUACCUAUAAGACUGGGAUAACUUCGGGAAACCGGAGCUAAUACCGGAUAAUAUUUUGAACCGCAUGGUUCAAAAGUGAAAGACGGUCUUGCUGUCACUUAUAGAUGGAUCCGCGCUGCAUUAGCUAGUUGGUAAGGUAACGGCUUACCAAGGCAACGAUGCAUAGCCGACCUGAGAGGGCGAUCGGCCACACUGGAACUGAGACACGGUCCAGACUCCUACGGGAGGCAGCAGUGGGGAAUCUUCCGCAAUGGGCGAAAGCCUGACGGAGCAACGCCGCGUGAGUGAUGAAGGUCUUCGGAUCGUAAAACUCUGUUAUUAGGGAAGAACAUAUGUGUAAGUAACUGUGCACAUCUUGACGGUACCUAAUCAGAAAGCCACGGCUAACUACGUG
rnacentral:rRNA from 1 species